rnacentral:misc_RNA from 1 species
UUAUCAUGAUGAAUGCUCGAGACUUGGUUUGAAAUCUUGCUUUAUCCUUCGCAGAAGUCAUUUUAAGGCUUCAUCCUUUUAUAUUUUAAUAGAAGAAAUUCAAAAUUUCAAUUUUCAUUGGGAAGUCAUUAUUGUGAACUCUUGCUUCAGCUCAUGCUUAUGUUAUGGAAGUGGAAUACUCAUGGGCUUCUAGUUCUAACCUUCUAAGUGAUUUGAUUUUUUUAAUGUUAUUCUCCAGUAUCUUCUGCUGUACAUUGAUG